AUCCAGUUGAUGAGUCUCAAAUAGAACGAAACGCGAGUCGUGGAU
rfam:Schistosoma mattheei strain Denwood, Zambia genome assembly, scaffold: SMTD_scaffold0000431